ensembl:lncRNA
AUGAUACAAAAAAAAAAAGAGUUUUCAUUAGUAGCGAAAAUUAAGAUACGAAAUCAAGAAAAAGAAAUUCCAAAUGUCCACUUGUUUAAUAAUACAUUAUAUAACAACACAGAUCAUAGUUUAUGUGUUAUUGAUAACAGAAGGAACAAAAAAAAACAGUUUAUACAUGUUAAGACUGUUGGUACGAGUUACCCUAGUAACAAUUUAACUUUAAUAUAUUCGGAUGAAAAGGAUGAUAGUAGUUUAAACAAAUAUAUGAAUAACAUUAAAAUAAAUAAAAAAGUUUUAAAUCACAUUUCUACUUCAUGCGAAGAUAUUAAAAAAGAACAAAAGCGAAAUGAGAAAAAAGCUAAAAACUUAUUUGAAGAAGUAGAAAAAUGUUUAGACAGAUUAAAUAACGAAGGUAUAAAAAAUAGUACGUAUAAUGACAAAAAUCGUAGUCAAAUCGAUCCAACUUUGUUAAAAGAAAUUGAAAGAUGUGAAUAUCAAAAUAUAACCAUACAAAAUGAAAAAUUAAAAAAGGGUCAAAAACAAGAUAAAAAAAAAAAAAUCAAGCUUGCAAAACAAACCGAGUCUGCAAAACAAAUUCAAGAAUUGAAUGAUAAGUUAAUGUCGUUACAAUGUAAAAUAAAUCAAAAUGGUAUUAAUGAACAGAUGAUAGUAACUAAAGUUGUGACAAAAAAUCAGCCUCUUUGUUUUGAAGGCGGCGUUAUCAACAACAAAAAUAACAACAACAACAAUAACAAUAACAACAACAACAAUAACAACAACAACAAUAACAACAACAAUAACAAUAACAACAACAACAAUAACAACAACAAUAACAACAAGGAAAACAAUACGCUCGUACGCAAAAGUAUGAACAAUGCAAUUAAAAUAAAUACACCCAAAACAGUACAUAAUAAAAAAACUUCUAAUUCUUUAUGUAAUAAUACAAAAGAAACCGAUAAUCAUCAAACAGGUUUAUGUUCUCCCUACUUCCCUAAAGUACAUAACAGUAGCAGCAAUAUUACUAAGCCUAAUCAAAAGAAUGUAAAUAUACUGAAUGCCACAAAGGACAAAACAAAGGACAAAACAAAGGACAAAACAAAGAACGAAACAAAAUGUAAUAUGCAAGAGUAUUCUAAUAGCAAUAUGAUUCAACAAGCGGUUUUAUAUCCGCACGAAAAUAGUACAACUAGUAACACAAACAGAAAGUAUAAUAUAAAUAAGCAUGUAAAACAGAAGGAAGAAUAUCAUCAAAGUGAGUACCCUUUUGACGAUAGUUUUACAUAUUACGAUACGUUAAAGAAUACCCAACAAGAGCUAAAAAAAAAAAACAAUAAUAAUAAUAAUAAUAAUAAGAGUAAUAAUUAUUUUGCUUCUAACCAAUAUAAUAACAAGUAUGUAAUACCAAUGUCAAACAGUUUAUAUAGCUAUGACAUCUCUAGUGAUACUAAUACCGAACCACAACAGUUUAACCAGCCACAACAUUUUAAUCAAAAUAUGUUUGGACUAAGUUCUACUGAAAUGAAAACGAAUACAAAAAUGGAAAAAUCAGUCAAUAAUAUGGAUACAUAUAAUAAAAAAUCUGGGGCAAAUAAUAUUAAAAAAAUAUAUUCUUAUGCUAGUAAUAACAACAUAGAUACAACUGAUUAUAUUUAUGUAGAUACACCUAUACCAAUUAAAACAGAUAAUAAGUAUAAACUGGAAGGUUUAAUUGAUGAUGCAGUAAAAGUCAAUUCAAAAUCUUAUACUUCUUCAUAUAAUUUAAAUGAUAGUACUUAUUCUUUUUCAUCUAAAAGCCAAAACGAAUUAAAUCAAAAUAGUGACAUUUUUACUACUAAUAACAUAAACGAUGAAAUGGAGAAACAUUCUAAAAUGAAAAAUAAAAAUUGUUCUUUAGAAUUAUUAAAACUAUAUCAGAUGUAUGAAAAUAGUAAUAAUAUUUUAACUGUAAGGGGAAAA